rnacentral:lncRNA from 1 species
CAUGGGCUUAAUGCUUGCUGUCUGUCUCAAAUCCUUGGCUCUAGUUUUGAGUUCUUAAUACAAGAAAAGAAAGCUUUGAGAAGAGGUAAGUAUAUGCUAGAGCCUGUUAGUUGCAGAUUUCCUCACAAAGGGGGAUUUCCUCACAGAGUGGAAACAAGGGUACACACCUUGCUCAGAAGGAGAAAGGUCCUUUUGUGUGACCUGAUGCAUCAUCUGAAGGACUGUGGAAUCCAUCCUAUUGUCAGCAGGACAUUGGUCUCGGACUUUUUUAGUAUCCCAUGGUCUAUUGGUGAGCAGGUGCACAAGAAGCACAAAGCAGAAGAGAAAGAGGAUACAGCUGGCAGCAGAAGAUGCAAUUGGAGGAAAUAAAAACUGUUAAUGGCCUGCCUGUGUGGAGUUACUGAAACUAUUUUUACGAAGAAUGCCAGACCAGGAGUCUCCAGAGCCUUCUGCAUUUGAUACAAAGCUCUUGGACCUCUGCUGAUUUGAAGAACGACUCAAUGCUUCCUUGUGGACCCAAUUAGGAAAGUUAAUCAAAGGCUCUGUAGGAGCACAGGGUGAGUUCUGGGCAUCUUUGAAAAUCUUAGCUGAAUUUCUAAUUAAGAGCACUGACUGCUCUUAAUUCUGCAGCGAGUGUUCCUCCAUCCUAAUCAAAACAGAAGGGCUGCUCCACAGUGGUGCUCCCAUCCGUGGAGCAGCACGUGCUGUUGCUGUGGUCACAGCCAGCCUGGCCUAGGCUGGCAAUGGGACAGACAACCAAGCAAUUGUCCCUUCUGGAAUUCUGUCUCUCUCCUUAAACAUUCUUGGUGUCUCAUAGGCUACAGAUUUGGUCUGAGAUCAGAUGACUGGAAAUAACUGCUAUUUUAUUCCCAUGGUCCAGAUGCAUUAUCUUUUAAAAAUGAUCUCUGUGUUGAAUUGAGAACACGGUCAUAUGACAGAGAUUAAGGUUGUUAAGUAUUUAUUUAUCAAGGAUUUCUAUUUUUAAAGAAGCUUACAACUCCAUUAUAUAUCUAAAUAUAAGAACUUGUAAUGAAUAGGCAGAGAUUGAAAAUUAUGAAGCAGGCAGAAGUUCUAGGUUCCAAAUUAUAUUUCUGAGAAAUGAUAAUGUUUUAUGAAAUCUGAGGAUAUCUUCCUGGAAAUACUGUUUGUGGAAGAGCACUGAGCAGUCCUGACUUCUGUGAAAGUGGAACAAAACUUCUGAUUUUUUGUGGCCUUCCUCUGAGACGGCAGUUUGAAAUGGAUUUUUAAUGGCAAAAAUCUCUGCCCUAAACUUAAGACUAAACUGCAAUAAGUGAGGUGUACAUCUCUGCACAAAAAUCUAAACACAUUAAAAGCAAAUUUUAUUGCAUACUUUUUUGUACAUCUAAAAUAUUUAAGGCUAAUGUGCUAAGAAUGCCUGAAAUACUAAAAUAAUUUAGGAGUUAAAAAAAUAAAAUCUGUGGAAGUAAUAUAAGCGGAACUAUU